CACUCUGACGUGAAAGUUGGAGGCUGAGAAACUGUGUUUCAAGCACAGCGGAUGCAAGGGGCCAAGCCGCGCUGACCCCCAGAAGUCUCCGGGAAAAUGCUGCACAGUCGCUGGGCUUGUACUCAGACACACAAUAUAGUGUGGUGGCGAUUUGCACUGCAUACCAGGAAUCAUGCAUCACUUGGAGGUGAACUGAAGAAUAAGGAGGAUGUGCACAGAUUCCACGCAGACGCUGCACCCUAACACAGAAGAGAUCUAAGCAUUCAGAUUUUGCUGUCUAUGGGGGGUUCUGUAAACAAGCAUUUGUGGAUACCGAGUGAGGAGCAGCUGUAAUUUGGAAGGUGUACACAUUGGUUGUUCGCUGCUAAAAACUGGCACAUUUCUAUAUAAGUUGCAAUCUCAUGCAUCGAGGAUUUGGACACUGGGAAGCACUGCCCUUCUUCAAACCAGCAGGGAUGCAGCCACAGCACGGACUCCUGCCUGUGCAUCUUUUUCUAACCCAGAAAAGCACACAAGUUGAAGGACCAAGUUCCUCCAGGGAAGAGUGCAAGAGGUGCUGAUUUUGAACUCUUAAAGGAUGAUCCAAAAAAAUUCAGUGGGAGAGGGCAUAAAACCAGCAAAACUGCAGUAGAGGUAGUGUGAACACGCUCUGGCCCAGGCGGAAACUGGGCAUGGGGUGUCAGCAGAUUUGUGUCAGUUGCAUUAAUGAAAUGUACAAUGACAAUAUUCCUAGUAAUUUAAAAUUUUAAGGUAUUCAAAAGCCUGUUGAGUAAUAUAUAGACUUGUUCAUUUACUGGUCAACGUGCUACCAGGGAGCUGAGAGGUUUAGGAAUAAUAAAAUAAACACUGCAUGGCCCCGUAAAGAACUGGUUCUCUCCCACUGGGUGGGAGAUGUGUACUAGACCUCACUGUCCCUUCCUGAAAGGGUUAAACUCCAGGGUGGCAAAGACAAAAUUCUCAAGGUAAUCCAGAUGGGAACUAAAAAUUUCAUUUCAUUGCAUCCUUGAACUUAUCUCCUUUUACUGCAAGUCUUUGAAUCAAAGAUGUCAUGUUGACAAUUCUCCAUCUGUCCAUCCAUUGAUUCAUUGAAUCAUUCAUCUAUCCUUCCACUGACCAUCCAUCCAUCCAACCGUCUGACCAUCCCUCUGUCCAUCUGUCCAUCUGUCCAUCCGUCCAUCCAAGAAUCCAUCCACUCCUUUAUCCAUCCGUUCAUUUACUCAUUAUGCAUCCAUUCUGGGUCUCCUGCCUUCUGGACAUAAUUCCUACCCCCUAGAAAUAUUUUCCAUCCUUUCCCUGGCUAGUUCAUACUCCCCUUCAGGUCUGACUUUAGAUCUCCUGUUCUGGGAAGUCCUCUGUGACCACUAAGUCUUGGUUAGCACCCUCCUCCAGACCCCCAUCCCUAUCUCGGUCAAGUAACCACUAUUCCUUGGUACCACCCAGCUGCACUGUGCCGUAGAAGAAUAAUUGGCUACUUGCUGUCUUUAAAAGAAAAAUCCCCAAGUGAAUGCCUGAGAACAACUGGUCUACCUUGGCCAUCGAGCUAGGGGUUGGUCAGUUGUUUCUGGUGUAUAGUAGCCUGGCUGGUCCUGCCAAUCUCUCUUGUGCAUUUAUGGCAAACUGGCAAGUCCACCAGGAGCUGGGCCAUCCAGGGUGCACCCCGUGGCUCCUCUCUGUACUGCCUGGUCUUCUACUCCACAUCAUUCUCAGGCAAGACUGACCCAUGGGGGUCAGGCCCCGGGAAGAGCUCCGUGGCGGCUGCAGGGCCUGGCUCAGCACGUGCACUGUGUCCCUCCAGCCAGGCUAAAGUAUUGCGUCCAAGUGCCGAGGUUGUCCCAGAAUCCAGAGGUCAGGGAUGGCCUUUGCUUCCGACAGGAGAAGCCACAGAGAAUUGUGACCACUUGUGUCAUCCACUGCCUUGGCUUCAAAGCUGAGCUUGGGUCAAAAGCCCUGGGGGCAUAGUGAGGGGGGUCAUGGACUGAGCAAGGAGAA